rnacentral:rRNA from 1 species
GAUGAACGUUGGCGGCAGGCCUAAUACAUGCAAGUCAAACGGGGAGCUUUGCUCCUAGUGGCGAACGGGUGAGUAAUACAUUUCUAACAUGCCCUAAAGCGGGGGAUAACUGAGGGAAACUUUAGCUAAUACCGCAUAAGAUAUAGAGAGGCAUCUCUUUAUGUUUAAAGGUGCGUUUGCACCACUUUAGGAUUGGGGAAUGGCGUAUUAGCUAGUUGGUAAGAUAACAGCUUACCAAGGCGAUGAUGCGUAUCCGGGUUGAGAGACUGAUCGGGCACACUGGAACUGAGACACGGUCCAGACUUCUACGGAAGGCAGCAGUAGGGAAUAUUCCACAAUGGGCGAAAGCCUGAUGGAGCCAUGCCGCGUGAGGGAUGAAUGCAAUUUUUGUGUAAACCUCUGUUAUAUGGGAAGAACA